rnacentral:rRNA from 1 species
CAGCAGUCAAGAAUAUUAGUCAAUGCUCGCAAGAGUGAACUAGCUAACUGAAAUCCUUGGUGUGUCAUCGAGGAUAACGUAAGGGAAAAUAAUGAUACCACCUUACUAUUAGUGUCGUCCAAAUGCUCGUGCCAGAAGACUCGGUAAGGCGAGAGACGCAAACGUUAUUCGUCUUGAUCAGGCGUAAAGGGUUUGUAGGCGGCUUUAAGUAUCCAAUUUUAAGUUUACUAUUAUAAUGCUAUAAGUGUUAUAAUAUUUAUUAAAGGGUCAAUUAAAGCUAGAAUCUAACAGAGGUUAAAACAAUACUUAAGGUAGGUGUACUAACCAUAAAUAAUAAGCAGAGUGUUAAGGGCGAAGGCAUUUAUCCACUGAAGAUUGACGCUGAGAAACGAAGGUGAGGACAGAAAAAAGGAUUAGAGACCCUUGUAUCCCUCACUGUCAACGAUGAAUGGUAGUUACUAGGGAGAAAUAACCUAGAGACGAUGUUAACACGAAAACCAUUCCGCCUUGUGAGUACGACUGCAAAGUUGAAAACAAAAAAAUUAGUCGGUUUCGGAGCAAACGAAGUGAAGCAUGUUAUUUAAUUCGAUAAUCCGC